CUGGCCCUAAACGAUGAAUACUUGGUGUCUGGAACUAUUAAGUUCUGGGUGCCGUCGCUAACGUUUUAAGUAUUCCGCCUGGGGAGUACGCUCGCAAGAGUGAAACUCAAAGGAAUUGAC
rnacentral:rRNA from 1 species